AGUGAACGCUGGCGGCAGGCCUAACACAUGCAAGUCGAGCGGCAGCACGGCAAUAGCAAUAUUGUGGGUGGCGAGCGGCGGACGGGUGAGGAAUGCAUCGGGAUCUACCCUGUCGUGGGGGACAACGUAGGGAAACUUACGCUAAUACCGCAUGAUCUGGAGACAGCAAAGCCGGGGACCCGCGAGGGCCUGGCGCGAUGGGAUGAGCCGAUGUCCGAUUAGCUAGUUGGCGGGGUAAAGGCCCACCAAGGCGACGAUCGGUAGCUGGUCUGAGAGGACGACCAGCCACACUGGAACUGAGACACGGUCCAGACUCCUACGGGAGGCAGCAGUGGGGAAUAUUGGACAAUGGGGGCAACCCUGAUCC
rnacentral:rRNA from 1 species